GACAAGAGCUACAGGAUAGCUGUUCAUCGGCACAACGACAAGGGACCAAGACCCAUCUCAUAAGAAGCAGCAAGUUGCAAAAGGAACCACAAGAUCAAGGAGGUCCUUGGGAGAAGAAGAGAAACUGAGGCUGACUAAAGAGGUCUGUGACACAAUCCUGGUUCAUGCUAAAGAAAGGUUCUCCUUCACUGACCACCUUGUCAGUGCCACACUGCUACGAGGAGAG